rnacentral:lncRNA from 1 species
AUGGAAGGAAAGGAAAAGAAGGGAGAAAGGAGAGAGAAAAGUGAAGGAAAGAAAGAAAAGGUAGGAGAAAAGAAAGAAGGAAAGAAAAGGAAGGAAGGAAGGAAGGAAGGAAGGAAGGAAGGAAGGAAGGAAGAGAGAGAAAAGAAGGGAAGGAAAAAAGGAGGAAGGGAAGAAAGGAAGGCGGGCGGGCGGGCUCCACACCAUCCUCCUAAGCCCCGAGCGAAAGCGAAGUCUGCCUGCCGGGAGCGAGGUGCGCGCUGCCUGUUUCCGGUCUCCGCACUGCAGGAGCCUGGCUCGCUGUGGCCCCAUGCCCGUCAGCCGCAGGUCUGCAGGCGCAGGACGGGGCACUGCACUCCUAGACAAGGCUCUGCAGCCGCUGUGUCUUCCCGUCACCUCCAGCCUGAGGCCAGCAGGCACGCAGUGACACAUCGGGACAUGUCGCUGCAGGCCAGCCUGAUCCCAGCUCCUUCUGCAGCACCUGGAGCCACGCAGCGGGCGGGGAGUUGAUGAUGUCAGGCUCCGGUGGUCACGGACGUAGGAAUCCAGGAGGAGGUACCAGAGCCUCUUGCCAGCUGAUGUACUCCACACGGGGCGGUGAUUUGACAGACAUCAGGAAAGCAGGUGGAAGCACCUGGACGACAAACUUGUGGACAGUCCACUUGUAGACGAUCGUCUGCCAAGGCAACCCCAGGAUCUUCAUGGAAGAAAUUACGAGAGACAAGGCUGGUUGCACGCCGUCUCAUUUCAGGCAAGUGGAAAGAGCCUGAUGCUGCAGAAUCCGUGACAGCCCAGAACCGCAGACAAGCUGAACCGGGCUGGGUCUGCGGCUCUACAGCUCUACGCUGGAAAACUGCUCUUCAGACAGAAGACAGCCAGAGAUGGACACAGUGUUCAAGUAACAUAGUAACAACGUGACUGUUCAAUAAAUGUAUCUUUUCCUUCUAAAUCUCUCUAAGACUUUGCAGUACCCAGUUUACAGAUGAUACAAAAGCAUAGCGUUAUCCAUACAAGUCCUUCAAUAGGAGGCUGUUUCUUUGGUUGUCUGCAGUACUGGGGAUAGAACCCAGAGCCUUCAUGCUGAGCUACAAAUGCCCGCCUUUUUCUAAAAGUUUGAUUGUUUUAUUUGUUGACUCAUUUGGUUUUUUUGAGACUGUCUCACUAUGUAGGUCACGUUGACCUGGAACCCACUGUGUAGCCUGGGCUGGCCUCAACCUCAUGACGAUCCUCCUGCCUCAGCCUCCGGAGUGCUGGGAUUACAGGGGUACACCUCCACAGCUGGGUCCUUUUAUAAAAUUUGGAAAGGAGAUCUCUCACUAAGUCCUAAAUUGCCCAGACUGGGCUCAAACUUGAGAUCCUCCUGCCUCAUCCUACCAAGUAGAUGGGAUUACAGACUUGUGCCCCCAAGCUUGGUGAGGUUUUAAAUUUUUAAAAUUUUUCAGUU